UUCACUAUUUCUUUACACUCAUGUAUUGACCUGUAGGACAACCUAUUGCCAUCAUGUGGGUCCACGCCCAACAUAAUGCAUUUGGUGUCCUUGUGACCAUUGAACCACUCGUACCCUUUUCGGUCCCGUUCCGUUCGUACCCUUUCGGUCCCAACCCGUUUGUACCCUUUCGGUCACGAACCUUUCACAUCCGAUGGAUCAUGAUACGUUCGUACCUCUUGGAUCACGACACGUUUGUACCUCUUGGAUCACGACACGUUCGUACCUCUUGGAUCACGACAUGAUCCUUGGCAACACGCAACCUUGGAUCACGAUGCACCGUCAUUGGUACCCUUUGAUACUUGCAACCAUUGGUAUCUCGUAACUUUUGGUUACUUGCAUCCUUUGGUAUCUCACAACCUUUGGUAACUCAUGACCCUUGGCAACACGCAACCUUUG
rnacentral:lncRNA from 1 species